rnacentral:rRNA from 1 species
GAUGAACGCUGGCGGCGUGCUUAACACAUGCCAGUCGAACGAUGAAGCCCAGCUUGCUGGGUGGAUUAGUGGCGAACGGGUGAGUAACACGUGAGUAACCUGCCCUUGACUCUGGGAUAAGCCUGGUAAACUGGGUCUAAUACUGGAUAUGACUUCUCAUCGCAUGGUGGGGGGUGGAAAGAUUUAUUGGUCUUGGAUGGACUCGCGGCCUAUCAGCUUGUUGGUGAGGUAAUGGCUCACCAAGGCGACGACGGGUAGCCGGCCUGAGAGGGUGACCGGCCACACUGGGACUGAGACACGGCCCAGACUCCUACGGGAGGCAGCAGUGGGGAAUAUUGCACAAUGGGCGCAAGCCUGAUGCAGCGACGCCGCGUGAGGGAUGACGGCCUUCGGGUUGUAAACCUCUUUCAGUAGGGAAGAAGCGAGAGUGACGGUACCUGCAGAAGAAGCGCCGGCUAACUACGUG